GAGGAAUAUUGGUCAAUGGGCGAGAGCCUGAACCAGCCAAGUAGCGUGCAGGAUGACGGCCCUCCGGGUUGUAAACUGCUUUUAGUUGGGAAUAAAAAAAGGGACUUGUCCCUUCUUGUAUGUACCUUCAGAAAAAGGACCGGCUAAUUCCGUGCCAGCAGCCGCGGUAAUACGGAAGGUCCAGGCGUUAUCCGGAUUUAUUGGGUUUAAAGGGAGCGUAGGCGGAUUGUUAAGUCAGCGGUUAAAGGGUGUGGCUCAACCAUGCAUUGCCGUUGAAACUGGCGAUCUUGAGUGCAGACAGGGAUGCCGGAAUUCGUGGUGUAGCGGUGAAAUGCUUAGAUAUCACGAAGAACUCCGAUCGCGAAGGCAGGUGUCCGGGCUGCAACUGACGCUGAGGCUCGAAAGUGUGGGUAUCAAACAGGAUUAGAUACCCUGGUAGUCCACACAGUAAACGAUGUAUACUCGCGGUUUGCGAUAGAUAGUAAGCCGCCAAGCGAAAGCAUUAAGUAUACCACCUGGGGAGUACGCCGGCAACGGUG
rnacentral:rRNA from 1 species